GCCUACGGCCAUACUACCCUGAACAUGCCCGAUCUCGGAAGCUAAGCAAGGUCAGGCCUGGUUAGUACCUGGAUGGGAGACUGCCUGGGAAUACCGGGUGCUGUAGGCU
rnacentral:rRNA from 1 species